CAGAAAAGAGGGAAGCAUUGGCUCUGCGCAGCUAAGAAUCCAGCUUUAAUUAUAUCUUCCUUGUGUUUACGUGAACUCUAGUUUGCAUUUCAGAAGCCUUAUGGAAGGAUUCCUGUGGCUGACCCAGGAGUAGUAGGGAAUUUCUCCAUCAAGUACUCGAAGCUAUCCUCAUCAUUUAGUACUCAUUUUUGUUUUCUAAAGACCCGUAUAGCGAUGUUCAUUGCAAUCUUUAAUUUGUUCUAAAAAGGGCAGCAAGAAUACUUCUUCAUGACCUUAAGAUUCUUCUAGAACUUCCAGGUGUGGGACACCACCUCAGCACAGCUUGACAUGCAGUGCUAGGUCCACGCACAGGAUCCGAACUGGUGAACCCUGGGCCACUGAAGCAGAACACGCGAACUUAACCACUCAGCCACAGGCUGGCCCCCAAAAUAUUACUUUUAAUGUAUUCUUUUUUAUUGCAAUUGAGCAAAGUUGAAUUAUA
rnacentral:lncRNA from 1 species